UGCUUUAUGUUUUUAUUUAAAUCCUACUUAGUUAACAUAUACUGUAAUUUUAGUUUCAGGAAUUGAAUUUAGUGAUUCAUCCUUUACAUAUAAUAUCCAGUGUGCAUCACAACAAGUGCCCUCUUUAAUACCCAUCACCCACCCUCCCCUCCCUCCCACCC